rnacentral:lncRNA from 1 species
UGGCAGCACAUGAAGAUGGCCGCAGCCCAGGUGGAUGAGAGUCCAUGGGGUAUAUACUAAAUCUAAUCAUGAGGAAACAAUAGAAAAAGAAACAUUCUAAAACAUUUCAAAAAAUGAUUGAACGGUUAUUUUCAAAAGCGUCAAGCCGGGAAAGCCAAGGAAAGAUUGAGGUUCUAUUCAGGAAGACUUCUUCCAAGUUGCUGGAGGAGAUGGCCACUAGUAGCCUUGAUUUUAUAUCAUCCCAGCACAAAGACACCAAAUGCAAGAGACAGCAUUUUCCACCAGCUCUAGCUGGAAAAUCCUUAGAGGAGGACUGUAGUUAUCAGCUCAACCAGGACAACUUGAUCGGAGAAGAGUGGUUAUCCAGAAAGGGAUGCUGAGCAGAUAAUCAACGUUCUCUGAAGUGGGUAUAAUGACUAUCUACAUGCAUAUGGGAAAGGGAGGCACAGAGAAAUGAAGUAACUUUUCCAAGAUCACACGGUUGGUUGGUGGGAGAGGUAAACCAAAAACCCAGGCCUCCUCACUCAGACCUCUGCUCUUGCCUGAAUAACCAUGUUAUUUCGCCACUUCAAAAUAAAAGUGAGACCUA